rnacentral:rRNA from 1 species
GACGAACGCUGGCGGCGUGCCUAAUACAUGCAAGUAGAACGAGUUGCGAACGGUUGCGUAACGCGUGGUAACCUGCCUCAUAGCGGGGGCUAACUCUUGUAAACGAUAGCUAAUACCGCAUACUGUGCGAUGGACCUGCGUUGUAUUAGCUAGUUGGUGAGGUAAAGGCGCACCAAGGCGCCGAUACAUAGCCGACCUGAGCGGGUGAUGGGCCACACUGGAACUGAGACGCGGGCCAGACUCCUACGGGAGGCAGCAGUGGGGAAGAUUGCACAAUGGGCGCAAGCCUGAUGCAGCCAUGCCGCGGGUAUGAAGAAGGCCUUCGGGUUGUAAAGUACUUUCAGCGGGGAGGCGUUACCCGCAGAAGAAGCACCGGCUAACUCCGUGCCAGCAGCCGCGGUAAUAC